UACGAAGGGGGGCUAGCGUUGCUCGGAAUCACUGGGCGUAAAGCGCACGUAGGCGGAUCUUUAAGUCAGGGGUGAAAUCCUGGAGCUCAACUCCAGAACUGCCCCUUGAUACUGGGGAUCUUGAGUCCGGAAGAGGUGAGUGGAACUCCGAGUGUAGAGGUGAAAUUCGUAGAUAUUCGGAAGAACACCAGUGGCGAAGGCGGCUCACUGGACUGGUAUUGACGCUGAGGUGCGAAAGCGUGGGGAGCAACAGG
rnacentral:rRNA from 1 species